rnacentral:rRNA from 1 species
GCAGUAGCCGCGGUAAAACGAACCGUGCGAACGUUAUUCGGAAUUACUGGGCGUAAAGCGUGCGUAGGUGGUGGUUUAAGUCCGUUGUGAAAGCCCUGGGCUCAACCUGGGAAUUGCAGUGGAUACUGGGUCACUAGAGUGUGGUAGAGGAUAGUGGAAUUUCCGGUGUAGCAGUGAAAUGCGUAGAGAUCGGAAGGAACAUCUGUGGCGAAGGCGACUAUCUGGGCCAACACUGACACUGAGGCACGAAAGCGUGGGGAGCAAACAGGAUUAGAGACCCCCGUAGUCCCUGUCUCUUAUAC